rnacentral:rRNA from 1 species
GUCUACAGCCAUACCACCCUGAACACUCCCGAUCUCAUCUGAUCUCGGAAGCUAAGUAGGGUUGGUCCUGGUUAGUACCUGGAUGGGAGACUGCCUGGGAAUACUGGGUGCUGUAGCUU